rnacentral:rRNA from 1 species
GUCCGUUUAGAUAGGUAUAAAGGGUCUUACCUGCCCACUGAAAAAAAUAAAGGGCUGCGGUACUUUGACCGUGCUAAGGUAGCAUAAUCAAUAGUCUCCUAACUAGGGACCGGAAUGAACGGUGUGACGAAAAGAAAGCUGUCUCUGAGGCAUAGAUUGAAUUUUACUCUUAAGUGAAAAGGCUUAAAUAUUGUUAAGGGACGAUAAGACCCUGUGAAACUUAAUACUAUCAGUUUUUUUAUUAUGGUGAAGUGAAAUUUUAAUUAAAUUUGAUUCUAUUCAGUUGGGGCGACUAAAAUAUAAAGAGUAGCUGUUUGAGUUAGAAAAAUAAUGUAGUUUGUUAUAAAAAGCUUUAAGUAAAGAUUAGAACAAAGUUACUUCAGGGAUAACAGCGUAAUUUUUUCUGAGAGUUCAUAUCGAAGAAAGUAGUUGCGACCUCGAUGUUGAAUUAAAGUUUUUAGUAAGCGCAGCGGCUUAAAAAAUAGGUCUGUUCGACCUUAAAAAUUUUACAUGAUUUGAGUUCAGACCGGCGUGAG